UAACAAGGUAUUCCCCUAGUAACUGCGAGUGAAGCGGGAAGAGCUCAAAUUUAAAAUCUGGCAGCUCUGCUGUCCGAGUUGUAAUCUGUAGAAGCAUUUUCUGCAUUGGACUGUGUACAAGUCUCUUGGAAUAGAGCGUCAUAGAGGGUGAGAAUCCCGUCCAUGACACAGACUGCCAAUGCUUUGUGAUAUGCUCUCAAAGAGUCGAGUUGUUUGGGAAUGCAGCUCAAAAUGGGUGGUAAAUUCCAUCUAAAGCUAAAUAUAGGCGAGAGACCGAUAGCGAACAAGUACCGUGAGGGAAAGAUGAAAAGCACUUUGGAAAGAGAGUUAAACAGUACGUGAAAUUGUUGAAAGGGAAACGCUUGAAGUCAGUCGCAUUCUGCAGAACUCAGCCUUGCCUAUUAGGCCUGGUGUAUUUUCUGUAGGAUGGGUCAACAUCAAUUUUGGUCAGUGGAUAAAGGAGGAGGGAAUGUGGCACCUGUGAAGGUGUGUUAUAGCCCUCUUUCAUAUACAUUGACUGGGAUUGAGGACUGCAGCAUGCCCUUGUGGGCCAGGCUUUCAUGUCACAUGCUUAGGAUGUUGACAAAAUGGCUUUAAGCGACCCGUCUUGAAACACGGACCAAGGAGUCUAACAUGCCUGCAAGUGUUUGGGUGGAAAACCCUUGCGCAUAAUGAAAGUNAAAGUUGGGAACCUCCGCAAGGGGGUGCACUGACGCCCGGCCCUGAUGUUUACUGACGGUGCUGCGGUAGAGCAUGUAUGUUGGGACCCGAAAGAUGGUGAACUAUGCCUGAAUAGGGUGAAGCCAGAGGAAACUCUGGUGGAGGCUCGUAGCGAUUCUGACGUGCAAAUCGAUCGUCAAAUUUGGG
rnacentral:rRNA from 1 species